rnacentral:misc_RNA from 1 species
UCAACCCUCAAGCACAGCUUGGUAUUGAGCCCAUGUCAGCGAUGGCAGGCUCCAAAAUCAGUGGCGGCGCCGCUGGGUCCUGAACGUAGUAAUAUCUCUCGUUACAGGCGCUCGGCGCGCUCCUGCCAAAACCCCAACUUUCU